rnacentral:rRNA from 1 species
AUUGAACGCUGGCGGCAUGCCUUACACAUGCAAGUCGAACGGUAACAGGUCUUCGGAUGCUGACGAGUGGCGAACGGGUGAGUAAUGCAUCGGAACGUGCCCAGUAGUGGGGGAUAGCCCGGCGAACGCCAGAUUAAUACCGCAUACGACCUGAGGGAGAAAGGGGGGGAUCGCAAGACCUCUCGCUAUUGGAGAGGCCGAAGUCAGAUUAGCUAGUUGGUGGGGUAAAGGCCUACCAAGGCAACGAUCUGUAGUUGGUCUGAGAGGACGACCAGCCACACUGGGACUGAGACACGGCCCAGACUCCUACGGGAGGCAGCAGUGGGGAAUUUUGGACAAUGGGCGCAAGCCUGAUCCAGCAAUGCCGCGUGCAGGAAGAAGGCCUUCGGGUUGAAAACUGCUUUUGUCAGGGAAGAAAUCUUCUGGGUUAAUACCUCGGGAGGAUGACGGUACCUGAAGAAUAAGCACCGGCUAACUACGUGCCAGCCGCCGCGGUAACAC